rnacentral:lncRNA from 10 species
UUUUAUUACAUUAUUAUUAAUUGACAAAUAGUGAAAAUAUGCUAAGCAACUGACUCAGGAAAAAGAAUAAUAACCUACGCUAAUAUUAUGAAAUUAAGACUUAUUAAAAUAAAAUCAGCAAUAAAUAAGAUAAAAAUGUAAUAGAUAAAUUAAAUAUUUGAUUUUCUUGAAAAAGAAGAUGUGGACAAACUUCUGGGAAACAGAAGUAAAAAUACACAGGAUUAACUGAAAAAAACAAUUAGAGAUGGCUGAGAACAUUUGAAAAUUAGAGAAUAACAUUCAAUUUUCUAUAAAUACAUUUAAAAUUUUCUUAAAAGUAGAUAUUUUUCUACCAAAAUACAAAUUAUGAAGACUAAUUUAAACAGAUGUAGAGAAUCCAAAAUGGACCAAUGGUGAAGGAAGAAAUGAAAAAAAAGACAAAAUAUUGUCAAGAACCCACACCCACACAAAACUAAUCUUAUGUUCUUAUAGAAUAUACAAAAGGUGGAGCUCAUUUUUAUGUAGGCAGUACAAUAAAAUAUGAAACCUAAAAAAUAUACUCUUGCAUAACUCCUCAAAAGAAUUCUAGGAUAAUAGAUUUUAAAUCUAAGUAGUAAAACUUAAGAAAACAAAUGAGUACUCAUUCAAUAUUAAGGCAGAAUGGAUUUUGUAAACUUGAGCUAAUCAGAUGAAACUGUGGAGCGUAGUCUGCUUUUACUAUGUAAAUAGGAAAAAAAUGAAUAACGUUGCAAAGUAAAUAACCUAUGGCAAACACUUUGUAAUUUGAUAGAAAACAUUAUUUUCUCAGCAUCUAAAAUAUUCUGGCAGAUUAAUCACAAAACAUGAAUACCUGAAUUUAAAAUGAAAAUUUAGACCAGUAUAUGAAUGGGAGAUUCACAACAGAAAAUUUAUAAAUAACUGAUAAAACCUUGUAGAUAUAUUCAAUGUUUUUUGUAUUAAAAAAAUGG